UGACUUCUAGUAGCUCCUUUCUAUUUCAAAUUUCAGUAAAUCGCUUAGUUGUAAUAAAAUGUGCCCAUAACAAAGAGCCACAACACUUUGCAAUGGAAUAUGUCUUAGCACAAGAGUACAUUUCUGUAUAGACGAUACUAUGAACACUAAGAAAUAGGCCAAAAUGCUUAUAGCACAGUGAAUAAACUGAAGCCCCAGAAAGUUACUCAACAAGAAUUUCUCUGGCUACCACCAUGCUAGUCUGAGUAAGAGGUAUUUAGUGGUGAAUAAAACAAACAGUAGCACAAGAAGCAUACUACCUGUGCUGGACAAGUAGAGUCAAACUAUUCAAACAGAUACACAAGCCCCCAAAAAGCACAGUAUUGGCAACUGAUUACAAAAAUAGCAUUUUAAUGGAGGUAUAACUAAUGGAAAAACUAGAAAUAGUUUUCUUAGAUUAAAUUACAGUUAAAAACAGGCAAAUCAAGGCCAAGGUAAGAACAACUGAGCACCGGUCCUUAAAGAGUUCAGAUUAAGUGAUCCCAGAGGGGAAGGGCCAUUCUGAGCAGACCUCACAUGGACCAGUACUAAAGAGGAGGAGAGCAUGUAUGCAAUAAGAACUCUAUCAUAUACAACUAAAAGUGACAGCCUGGCUAGAAGCAAGAGCAUCACAAACAGAAAAAAAGAUAAGGACUGAAAUCUAGUUCAAUUCCUCAAAAAAACUUCUGCUCAAUAAAACAAACUUACAAGCAGUCUUUCAAAUAUAAAUACAGUAUGGACCCUAUAUAA